rnacentral:rRNA from 1 species
GGCCCUUACGGGAGGCAGCAGUGAGGAAUAUUGGUCAAUGGACGCAAGUCUGAACCAGCCAUGCCGCGUGCAGGAUGACGGCUCUAUGAGUUGUAAACUGCUUUUGUACGAGGGUAAACCCCGAUACGUGUAUCGGGUUGAAAGUAUCGUACGAAUAAGCAUCGGCUAACUCCGUGCCAGCAGCCGCGGUAAUAUGGAGGAUGCGAGCGUUAUCCGGAUUUAUUGGGUUUAAAGGGUGCGUAGGCGGUUUUUUAAGUUAGUGGUUAAACGUCGGGGCUUCACCUUGAUUUGCCAUUAAUACUUUA